rnacentral:rRNA from 1 species
CCUGGUUGAUCCUGCCAGUAGUCAUAUGCUUGACUCAAAGAUUAAUCCAUGCAUGUCUAAGUUUGAACUAAUUCAGACUGUGAAACUGCGGAUGGCUCACUAAAUCAGUUAUAGUUUUUUUGAUGCUACCACACUACUCAGAUAACUGUAGUAGUUCUAGAGCUAAUACAUGCACCAAGUCUCGACUCUUUGGAAGGGAUGCAUUUUUUAUAUAAAAUGCCAGCGCGAGCUUGCCCGCUUCUCCAAUGAAUCAUGAUAACUCGACGGAUCGCACAGCCCUUGUGCUGGCAAUGCUUCAUUCAAAUUGUUUCCCUAUCAACUUUCUUUGGUGGGAUAGAGGCCUACCAUGGUGGUGACGGGUGAUGGAGAAUUAGGGUUCAAUUCUAGAGAGGGAGCCUAAGAAACAGCUACCACAUCCAAGGAAGGCAGCAGGCGCACAAAUUUCCCAAUCCUGACAUGGGGAGGUAGUGACAAUAAAUAAUAAUACUGGGCUCAUUUGAGUUUGGUAAUUGGAAUGAGUAUAAUCUAAAUCCCUUAAUGAGGAUUGAUUGGAUGGUAAGUCUGGUGCCAGUAGUCACAGUAUUUCCAUCUCCAAUAGCAUAUAUUUAAGUUGUUGCAAUUAAAAAUCUCGUAGUUGGAUCUUGGGUCAUAAAGGUUGGUACGCCUACUCAGUGUGCACCUACCCUUCCGUUCCUUUUGUCGAUGGCGUGCUCUUGGCCUUAAUUGGCUGGGUCAUGGCUCUGAUGCUAUUACUUUGAAAAAAUUAGAGUGCUCAAAGCAAGCUUAUGCUCUGAAUACAUUAGCAUGGAAUAACGUGAUAGGAGUCUAGUCCUAUUGUGUUGGCCUUCGGGACUAGAGUAAUUAUUAAUAGGGACUGUUGGGGGCAUUCGCAUUUCAUUGUCAAAGGUGAAAUUAUUGGAUUUAUGAAAGAAGAACCACUGCAAAAUCAUUUGCCAAGGAUGUUUUCAUUAAUCAAUAAUGAAAUUUGGGGGCUCAAAGACAAUCAGAUACCAUCCUAGUCUCAACCAUAAACGAUGUCGACCAGGGAUCGGUGGAUGUUGCACUAAGGACUCUGCCAGCACCUUCUGAGAAAUCAGAGUGUUUGGGUUCUUGGGGGAGUAUGGUCGCAAGGCUGAAACUUAAAGGAAUUCAUGGAACAGCACCACAAGGAGUGGAGCCUGCAGCUUAAUUUGACUCAACAAGGGGAAACUUACCAGGUCCAGACAUAGUAAGGAUUGACAGAUUGAGAGCUCUUUCUUGAUUCUAUGGGUGGUGGUGCAUGACCAUUCUUAGUUGGUGGAGUGAUUUGUCUGGUUAAUUCUGAUAACGAACGAGACCUCAACCUACUAACUAGCUAUGAGGAGCUUCUUAGAGGGAAUAUGGCCAUUUAGUCCAUGGAAGUUUGAGGCAAUAAUAGGUCUGUGAUGUCCUUAGAUGUUUUUGGGUUGCACGCGCGCUACACUGGUGUAGCCAAGGAGUUUUUCUUCCUGGUUCGAGAGGAUCGGGAAAUCUUUUCAAAUUGCAUCAUGAUGGGGAUAGACCAUUGCAAUUAUUGGUCUUCAACGAGGAAUUCCUAGUAAGCGCAUGUCAUCAACUUGUUUUGACUACGUUCGUGCCCUUUGUACACAUCGUCCGUCGCUCCUACCGAAUGAAUGAUCCGGUGAAGUGUUCGAAUUGCAUCGACGAUGGUGGUUCGCCACUAUCGACAUCAUGAGAAGUUUGUUGAACCUUAUCAUUUAGAGGAAGGAGAAGUCGUAACAAGGUUACCAUAGGUGAACCUACAGUAG